rnacentral:sRNA from 1 species
GCUGGGCGUGGUGGUACAUGCCUGUAAUCCCAGCUCCUCAGGAGGCUGAGACAGGAGGAUCUUGAGUUCAAAGCCAGCCUCAGCAAGGGGAAGGCAGUAAGCAACUUGUUGAGACCCUGUCUCUA